GCAAACCCAACCCACACUUAGUUUGGACAUUAUCCUUACUGAACGAAACGGAAAGUUACAUAGGAUUACCUAGAAGCUGUGAGAAAUCUAAGACGCAAGAUGUAUGAUCUAUGAAGUCCAAAGUUGGCUAUGAAAAUAACUCCUGAAAAUGACUCGAUCACAAAAAAAAGUAAAAACGGACUAGGACAAGUCUCCAAGUUUCACACAUAAUAAAAUCGAUUUAAGAUAAAAAAAAUAAGAAAAGAAAAAUCCUAAGUAGGACGAUAAUACCUGGAUCAGUAGGGACUCAUCAUAUCAGUAAACUUUAUCGGUGGUGGCUGGUAACCAUGCGGAGUUGGAAAUCCCGAGCUUAUCGAAG
rnacentral:lncRNA from 1 species